rnacentral:rRNA from 1 species
ACGGCUCAGUAACACGUGGAUAAUCUACCCUUAGGACCGGGAUAACCUUGGGAAACUGAGGAUAAUACUGGAUAGGCAAUUAUUCCUGUAAUGGUUUUUUGUUUAAAUGUUUUUUCGCCUAAGGAUGAGUCUGCGGCCGAUUAGGUAGUUGGUUAGGUAAUGGCUUACCAAGCCGUUGAUCGGUACGGGUUGUGAGAGCAAGAGCCCGGAGAUGGAACCUGAGACAAGGUUCCAGGCCCUACGGGGUGCAGCAGGCGCGAAACCUCCGCAAUGUGAGAAAUCGCGACGGGGGGAUCCCAAGUGCCAUUCUUAACGGGAUGGCUUUUCAUUAGUGUAAAGAGCUUUUGGAAUAAGAGCUGGGCAAGACCGGUGCCAGCCGCCGCGGUAACACCGGCAGCUCUAGUGGUAACAAUUUUUAUUGGGCCUAAAGCGUCCGUAGCCGGUUUAAUAAGUCUCUGGUGAAAUCCUGUAGCUUAACUGUGGGAAUUGCUGGAGAUACUAUUAGGCUUGAGACCGGGAGAGGUUAGAGGUACUCCCAGGGUAGAGGUGAAAUUCUGUAAUCCUGGGAGGACCGCCUGUUGCGAAGGCGUCUAAACUGGAACGGUUCUGACGGUGAGGGACGAAAGUUAGGGGGCGCGAAC